ACUGGAGGACCGAACCGACUAAUGUUGAAAAAUUAGCGGAUGACUUGUGGCUGGGGGUGAAAGGCCAAUCAAACCGGGAGAUAGCUGGUUCUCCCCGAAAGCUAUUUAGGUAGCGCCUCGUGAAUUCAUCUCCGGGGGUAGAGCACUGUUUCGGCAAGGGGGUCAUCCCGACUUACCAACCCGAUGCAAACUGCGAAUACCGGAGAAUGUUAUCACGGGAGACACACGGCGGGUGCUAACGUCCGUCGUGAAGAGGGAAACAACCCAGACCGCCAGCUAAGGUCCCAAAGUCAUGGUUAAGUGGGAAACGAUGUGGGAAGGCCCAGACAGCCAGGAUGUUGGCUUAGAAGCAGCCAUCAUUUAAAGAAAGCGUAAUAGCUCACUGGUCGAGUCGGCCUGCGCGGAAGAUGUAACGGGGCUAAACCAUGCACCGAAGCUGCGGCAGCGACGCUUAUGCGUUGUUGGGUAGGGGAGCGUUCUGUAAGCCUGUGAAGGUGUGCUGUGAGGCAUGCUGGAGGUAUCAGAAGUGCGAAUGCUGACAUAAGUAACGAUAAAGCGGGUGAAAAGCCCGCUCGCCGGAAGACCAAGGGUUCCUGUCCAACGUUAAUCGGGGCAGGGUGAGUCGACCCCUAAGGCGAGGCCGAAAGGCGUAGUCGAUGGGAAACAGGUUAAUAUUCCUGUACUUGGUGUUACUGCGAAGGGGGGACGGAGAAGGCUAUGUUGGCCGGGCGACGGUUGUCCCGGUUUAAGCGUGUAGGCUGGUUUUCCAGGCAAAUCCGGAAAAUCAAGGCUGAGGCGUGAUGACGAGGCACUACGGUGCUGAAGCAACAAAUGCCCUGCUUCCAGGAAAAGCCUCUAAGCAUCAGGUAACAUCAAAUCGUACCCCAAACCGACACAGGUGGUCAGGUAGAGAAUACCAAGGCGCUUGAGAGAACUCGGGUGAAGGAACUAGGCAAAAUGGUGCCGUAACUUCGGGAGAAGGCACGCUGAUAUGUAGGUGAAGUCCCUCGCGGAUGGAGCUGAAAUCAGUCGAAGAUACCAGCUGGCUGCAACUGUUUAUUAAAAACACAGCACUGUGCAAACACGAAAGUGGACGUAUACGGUGUGACGCCUGCCCGGUGCCGGAAGGUUAAUUGAUGGGGUCAGCGCAAGCGAAGCUCUUGAUCGAAGCCCCGGUAAACGGCGGCCGUAACUAUAACGGUCCUAAGGUAGCGAAAUUCCUUGUCGGGUAAGUUCCGACCUGCACGAAUGGCGUAAUGAUGGCCAGGCUGUCUCCACCCGAGACUCAGUGAAAUUGAACUCGCUGUGAAGAUGCAGUGUACCCGCGGCAAGACGGAAAGACCCCGUGAACCUUUACUAUAGCUUGACACUGAACAUUGAGCCUUGAUGUGUAGGAUAGGUGGGAGGCUUAGAAGUGUGGACGCCAGUCUGCAUGGAGCCGACCUUGAAAUACCACCCUUUAAUGUUUGAUGUUCUAACGUUGACCCGUAAUCCGGGUUGCGGACAGUGUCUGGUGGGUAGUUUGACUGGGGCGGUCUCCUCCUAAAGAGUAACGGAGGAGCACGAAGGUUGGCUAAUCCUGGUCGGACAUCAGGAGGUUAGUGCAAUGGCAUAAGCCAGCUUGACUGCGAGCGUGACGGCGCGAGCAGGUGCGAAAGCAGGUCAUAGUGAUCCGGUGGUUCUGAAUGGAAGGGCCAUCGCUCAACGGAUAAAAGGUACUCCGGGGAUAACAGGCUGAUACCGCCCAAGAGUUCAUAUCGACGGCGGUGUUUGGCACCUCGAUGUCGGCUCAUCACAUCCUGGGGCUGAAGUAGGUCCCAAGGGUAUGGCUGUUCGCCAUUUAAAGUGGUACGCGAGCUGGGUUUAGAACGUCGUGAGACAGUUCGGUCCCUAUCUGCCGUGGGCGCUGGAGAACUGAGGGGGGCUGCUCCUAGUACGAGAGGACCGGAGUGGACGCAUCACUGGUGUUCGGGUUGUCAUGCCAAUGGCACUGCCCGGUAGCUAAAUGCGGAAGAGAUAAGUGCUGAAAGCAUCUAAGCACGAAACUUGCC
rnacentral:rRNA from 1 species